UCCUACUACCCUGUAAAGAAAUUGGGCAAGACUACUGAAUAAUAAAAUACCCCUUGGAGAGAAAGGCCCAGCGAAGCCAGCAUUAAGGCCCUGGACAUGUGAAUGAGCCCAUCUUAAACCCUCCAAUCCCAAACUGCCAGAUAACUGAUGCCUCAUGAGAAAACCCAGAAACACUUUAUAUACCUCUGUGUGUUCGCGAUAAUAGUCUGUGAAUAGCUCCAAGGGAAGGAUGGAGUGAAGCUGACAAGAGGAUGAAGGUAUUAAACUAGAUAAACUUCAAUGACAAGGAAAACUCAGAGAAAGAAUCAAGUGGCCAUCAGCUUACUUAAAGAGAUGAGAGAUUUUCUUUUCGUAAGGAUGAACCUUUGGACUAUUAUGUUAAUAAAAAGCAGGAUGCCAAGGAAGAAAAUGCAUUUUCAAACCGUGUGAACUGUAGAGAAACUGACAUGUCCAGGAUGGAGAAACAAAAGAAAGGAACUGUGUCAGAACACAUUUUUAGAUCUCUUCCAACUGAGUGAUUUUAUUAAUUGGGGAUAAUGAACAUCUUUCUCUCUUUUUUUUUCCGGAACAUUUUAAAAUGUAAAAUUCCCCUGAAUCUAUUGUAAGGAGUUC